rnacentral:misc_RNA from 1 species
UUGAAAUUACCGGUGAGGGUUGUAGCUGGCCUCUCGGGGCAUGUGCACGCCUGAGCCUUUCAAUCCACACACACCUGUGAACCUAAUGUGAGGGCCCGUAAAAAAGGUCCUUAUGUCUUAUCACCAACCCGAGUCCAAUAGAAUGUAACAUAUGUCUUCGCCUUAAAAAGCGUUGAUAAACAUAUA